UACGGAGGGUGCAAGCGUUGUCCGGAUUUAUUGGGUUUAAAGGGUGCGUAGGCGGCUGAUUAAGUCAGCGGUGAAAUUCCACAGCUCAACUGUGGAACUGCCAUUGAUACUGGUUAGCUUGAGUACAGAUGAGGUAGGCGGAAUUGACAGUGUAGCGGUGAAAUGCUUAGAUAUUGUCAAGAACACCUAUUGCGAAGGCAGCUUACUAGCUGUAACUGACGCUGAGGCACGAAAGCGUGGGGAUCAAACAGG
rnacentral:rRNA from 1 species